CAAAUUUGACUCAGGGAGAGAGAGGGAAGGGGGACAGAAGGGUUGACAGGUUGGAGGGAGGGAAGGGGGACAGAAGGGUUGACAGGUUGGAGGGAGAGGAUCGUCGGGAUUUAGGGGAGAGGAUUUUCGGCAGGGAGGUAUGGGUUUAGGGAGAGAGAGAGUAAGGGAGAAGUAUGGGGUAGGCGGAUUUCCAGGGAUUUCUUUUCACCCCUUCACUCACCACGAACCCACCUUUCCCUUCUUUUCUUCCGUCCUCAAAUCUUCUGAUUUCCCUCUCACAAAAUACCCACCAAGGAAACCCUACUUUUGGUUUAUUUUGGGAUUUUGUUUGCGCUCUCGAUUUUCAGACGACGGGCCAAUUGGUUGAGAUUUGGAUUUCUUCUCCUUUUGUCGAAACGCACAAAUUUUGUUUCGGUGGGAUUGGUCUCGAAUAGCUGCGUGUGUCUACCCUUUCCAAGAUGGAUAGAUGUGUGGCUCGGUUGCAGGAGCUGCAGUACACAGUUUCGGGCGGUACGAAGGUGAUCUCAGGAGUGAGUCUCCGCCCUGGGAGUUCUAGAGGUUAUCUCAGGGCUAGCCUCCGAUGCAAACAAGAAACUGCAAGGAUUAAAGGCUCAGCCCCUAGAAAAUCUCCUGUUGGCAAGUUUCCAGCAAAGGCAGGAGCUGUAUAAGUUUUCCAUAAGCUUCGAUCAUCUCCCCAAUAAACCCAGAGCCUCCUUCUCUCCCGCUAAGCAAAAGAAAAUCAAGGAGGCCUGCAACUUCGUAUGCAGUCCGCCACUGCAAAUCAGUCUGGAAACUGGAUUCAAAGGUCAUAUUUUUCACUUUCUGGAUGUGCAAAGUCUGGAUAGUACACAUCACCGGACCAAACCUUUAUCAGCAGAAUUGCGGAUUUCUAAAUCGAAAAGGAGAAAUAAACACUAUAGAAGUUUAUGCAGAAGGAGCAUGUAAAAGAGAAGCACAGGUAAAGGUUUAUGAGGUGAGGACAACACACUUAUCAGGGCAAUGUCGGGAUGUUUUGGCUUGGGUGGAGACAUGGACUUAUGGAAGAGAUGUUGGGGACCGGUUACUGGAAUACAAGAUUUGGAACAAAAGUGGUUGACAAUGCAAGAGUCGAAAGCAAGUGUGAAAUUCGCAUUGAAAAUGACAGGAGAGGGUUACGCAUGAUCCGUAGGUUCAUUCAACCUCGCUGUUUUCGUUAGAAUCACAAUUAAGGUCAG